rnacentral:lncRNA from 14 species
UGUGCUGGAAGAGCAAUUCAGCCAACUGAGCACAGCUACUUUUAAUGAGAAACUCUUGUCUUCACUGCAUCCUGCUGGUGUGUUCCGAUGUGAAACAGAGCGUGUGGCCAGCCUCUUCCCCUUACUGGAGAGCCAGAAGAAAGGGCUGUGCUCAGCCACUAAAAAGGUGCAAACGGAGAAGAGGGCAUCUAGGAACAAGCGACUCAGUGCCACUUGUAGCUGUCCCUUCCAUCUCAGUAGAUGUCCCUCAGUGUUCUUCAGAUUGAGCUCUUUGCCACACCAGCAGUAGCUGUGGAGACAUUCUUUCUCGGGAAGCAGUGCAGGGCUAAGGAAGGUUGAGCACUUAGACUGCAGACACAAAUGGUGUCUUUUUCUUCCUUGUGGGUAUGUUAAUCCAAACAAGCUAUUAAAGAGCUGAG